UACGGAGGGUGCAAGCGUUAAUCGGAAUUACUGGGCGUAAAGAGUGCGUAGGUGGUUAAUUAAGUUAUCUGUGAAAUCCCUGGGCUCAACCUGGGCAGGUCAGAUGAUACUGAUUAACUCGAGUACGGGAGAGGGUAGUGGAAUUUCCGGUGUAGCGGUGAAAUGUGUAGAGAUCGGAAGGAACACCAGUGGCGAAGGCGGCUACCUGGCCUGAUACUGACACUGAGGCACGAAAGCGUGGGGAGCAAACAGGAUUAGAACCUACGGUAGU
rnacentral:rRNA from 1 species